AUUCUUUCACAGUGGCAGUAUCGUAGCCCAUGAGGUUUAUCUGAGGUGCAAUUAUUGCUAGUUGAAAACUUUACACAAAGCAAGAUAAAGACAAAAAAGGUGUUGUCCUCUCAACAUUUUAUCUUCCAUCCGUGUG
rnacentral:snRNA from 1 species